rnacentral:rRNA from 1 species
GAUGAACGCUAGCGGCAGGCUUAAUACAUGCAAGUCGAGGGGCAGCAUGACUGUAGCAAUACAGUUGAUGGCGACCGGCAAACGGGUGCGGAACACGUACAGAACCUUCCUUCGAGCGGGGAAUAGCCCAGAGAAAUUUGGAUUAAUACCCCAUAGUAUUACGGAGUGGCAUCACUUUGUAAUUAAAGAUUUAUCACUUGAAGAUGGCUGUGCGGCUGAUUAGGUAGUUGGCGGGGUAACGGCCCACCAAGCCUGCGAUAAGUAACUGGUGUGAGAGCACGACCAGUCACACGGGCACUGAGAAACGGGCCCGACUCCUACGGGAGGCAGCAGUAAGGAAUAUUGGUCAAUGGACGAAAGUCUGAACCAGCCAUGCCGCGUGGAGGAUGAAGGUCCUCUGGAUUGUAAACUUCUUUUAUAUGGGACGAAAAAAGGCUUUUCUAAGUCGUCUGACGGUACCAUAUGAAUAAGCACCGGCUAACUCCGUGCCAGCCGCCGCAGUAAGAC